UCUCCCCCUUUCCCUUUCCCUCUUUUCCCCCCAAUUUUUUUCCUCCACCCCCAAAAAACCCUAGUUUUCUCCCCUCCGAGCCCUCGCUCCCCCCUCUCCCCAAUUCCCACCAUCCUCAUUUUUCCUGGCUAAUUCACCCUCGCAAAUCGCAAUUCAGCUGAAAUCAUGGACGAUUCGGAGCAGAAUAAGCUGUUUGUCGGGGGCAUUUCGUGGGACACGACGGACGAUGCCCUCAAGGACCAUUUCGGCCAGUACGGCGCCGUUUUGGGCUCCGUGAUUGCUCGGGAUCGGAUUUCCGGUAACCCCAGGGGCUUCGCCUUCGUCACCUUCUCGGAUUCUUCCGCCGUCGACCGCGCUCUUCAGGAUUCCCAUCAAAUUCUUAGCAGAACGGUGGAAGUGAAGAGGGCCAUUCCCAGGAGCGAACAACAAAGUCAACAACAGAACUAUAGGGGAGUGAGUAGGAAUAACAGUAGGACUAACAGUAGGAGCAACGUGCAGUUUAGGACGAAGAAGAUUUUCGUAGGGGGUUUGUCGGCUAACUUGACUGAGGAAGAAUUCAGAAGAUACUUUGAGAAGUUUGGUAGGAUUACUGAUGUAGUUGUGAUGCAUGACAAUCUGACUCAUAGGCCGAGAGGAUUUGGUUUUAUUACCUUUGAUUCAGAGGAUUCGGUGGAGGAAGUUAUGCAGAAGAGCUUCCAUGAGUUGACUGGAAAGCUCGUCGAGGUUAAAAGAGCUGUUCCAAAGGAUGGAAUUGGCAGUAGUAACAUUGGUUAUAAUGGAAGGUUAGGCGAUGCAAGAAGCCCUACUAGCUUCAAUUCUUAUCAGCAGGGGAGUUACGUGCCUGUAAAUUCUAGAUAUGGGUAUUUCCCUGGAUAUGGUAAUGUGGCUGGGUACCCAUACGGAGCUGGGAUGUAUGGUGGUGGUUAUCCCUCUGGAGGGUAUGGUGGAAUUAGUUACGGACUCACUCCAAUUGCCCCAAGGAGUCCUUGGAAUCCAGCGAUGGUUGGUGUCAGGGGAGGUUUCCUGCCUUAUGGAAGUGCCGCUCCUGUGUAUCCCUCCUACGUGAAUGGCGGACCUGGAGUUAUGGGACUGUCUAUGAACGGAUAUGGUGGUGGGAUAUUGGGUGGAGAAGCUCAACACUCGACUGAGUCAACACCCUCUCAGACUGGUAUAAAUAAUGUAGAUGCCAAUUCUUUUGGUUCCAGUAGAGGUUUCGGAGGUGCAGCUAGCAAACAGAGUCAUAGAGUUAGUGAUAAGUCUUACCAAGCUGCUAACUCAAGCUGACUGCUUGCCAUCUUCAUUGUGGAUAUUGACAUGUUAGAAGUUUCUCCCACUGACAGAGUUGGGAAUCAUCAUGGUUUCCCGAGUCAGAUUUUCCUGGUCAUUUUGUGUACUGCUUAUGAUGACUUUCAUUUCCUAUUGAAACUGCUGAGGGAAAGGAAUAUAUGCCACUCUUUUUUUUUAAACUGAGAUUCAUGUAAGAUGCAUAUUCGGUAUUCUUGCUAUGAAUGAAUGUUGAUGAUGCUUUGGGUA